UUCUGUUUUGGGGAUCGAAUAUUGAGAGUAUUUGAGGUUGAGUUUAAGAGAUAUUUAAAAUAAGAAAUUUGAGGACAUUGAAAUUUAUGAUUAUAUCUUAUGAGAUUUUUUUUAUUGAUUUUUAGGUCGAUGAUAUCAAUAGGCAUUUGUUACAUAUGGAUACCAAGAAGUAAGUAAAGUAAACUUAUAAAUGAAUCACAAUAAAGAAUAUAUUAUGUUUUACAUGUUUGAAAAACUUAUUUUCGAUAUGUACGAAUAUGCAUUUAUAUGUUUUCUGCCGAUAUGUUUAUGUGAUGUGUUGCAUAUGUUGAACGUGAUUAUGUACAUGGGCAUAUGUACCUGUGAAAGUUCAUUGGCAAAUGCAUAAACAUGAGAAGCUUUUAUAAAAAGUAUGCUUAUUAAUUACAUUUGUAAUUUUAUGAUUUAUACGUAAACUUUCUUAUUGUAUUAAGUUUUAUGAGAGUUUGCAUUGGGAGCCACCUUUUGAGAUUAUAUAAAGGCAACCUCUCGAAGGCCAAUGUGCCAUGAAGUGCCAUGCAUACUGCAAAGUAUCACAUGCAUGAUAUGUAUUUUAUUAAAAGAAAAUGUAAAAGUUUGAAAGUGACAAAAAGAGAUUUUGAUGAAUUUGUUUUACAAUGUCUUCAAAAGAUUACAAUGUAUUAUCUAUUUGCAUUUUAUAUAAAUAUAUAUGUAUUUUGGUAUAAGUAAAAUUAGUUUUCUUAUUGAGUUUUGUACGUAUUAUAGUUUAUAAUGAUUCAAUUUUCAAAAAUCAAGGCUGAUUCACGAUGAGUGAUGGGAAGGAGUUGAAUUAAAGAUGACAGAUGGUUUGGUAGAUUUUUAGAUUCUUCUACUGUAGUUUAAUAAUUCUGUUUGGGAAUUGAAUCUUUAAAUGAUUGUAAAGAGAUUUUCAAGUAUAUUUGUGAUACACGAGUAGAUUUGCCCCCAAAAUUCGGACCGAGUGUUAUAUAUGUUUAUUGUGAUUCAUUUGUAACACUCUGGUUUGAACUCCAAGGGCAAAUCUACUCACAUAUCACAUAUACACUUUAAAUUCUCUUUAUAAUCAUUUAAAAAUUCAAUUCCCAAACACAAUUAAUAAAUUGCAGUGGAAGAAUUUAACAACUUGCCAAACUACCUAUCAUCCUCAAUUCAAGUCCUUUCCUCACUCAUUAUGAAUCAAUCUUGAUUUGUGAAAACUAAAUUACAAUAAAUUAUAAUGAGUGCAAAGCUCAGUAAGCAAACUAAUUUUACUUAUACUAAAAAACAUAUAUAUUUCUAUAUAAUACAAAUGUAUGAUACACCAGAUCUUUUGAAAGUACUGUAAAAUAAAUUCAUUAAAAUCUAUUUCUGUCACUUUCAAACUUUCACAUUUUCAUUCAAUAAAAUAUAUAUAAUACAUGUGGCACUUUGCAUUAUGUGUAGCACUUUGCGGCACAUCGACCUUCGAGAAGUGGCUCCCACAUAGUCUCAAGAUGGGGCUCCCACACAACUUCAAGAGAUGACUCCCUAUAUAAGCUCUCAUAAAACUUAAUAUAAUAACAAAGUUCAGGUAUCAAUCAUAAAAUUACAAAUGUAUUAAUAAACAUACUUUUUACAAAAGCUUUGCAUGUUCAUGCUUAUGCUGAUGAACUUUCACACGUACAUAUGCCCAUAUACAUAAUCAUGCUCAACAGAUAACAAUACAUCACAUAAACACAUUGGCAGAAACAUAUAAAUGCAUAUCCAUACAUAUCAAAAAUAGGAUUUUCAAACAUGUUAAACGUAUACAUAUUGUUUAUUGUGAUUCAUUUAAAAGUCUACUUUACUUACAUCUUGGUAUCUACAUGUAACAAAUGCGUGUUGAUAUCAUCGAUCUAAAAAAAUAAAUAAUAAAACUCUCAUAAGAUAUAAUCAAGUCCUAAUCAUAAAUUCUAAUGUCUUUAAAUUUCUCAUUUUAAACAUCUCCUAAACUCAACCUCAAAUACUCUUACUAUUCAAUCCUCAAAAUAGAAUAACUCAUGUUCUCUGAUUUUUAACAAAUUAUUAACUUAUUGGAAAAUUUUCAAAUUUUACAUAACAUAUAUUGACAUACUAAAAAUUCAUUGGUAAAAUUUCAUAGCUUAAUUCCUUAAAAAGCUAUUGAAAAUUAUUUACGUUUCAAACAUCAUCAAUUAUGUCAAAUAAUUUUUUUUGUUUUGAACAUACUUGUUUUAAAGUACAAAACAAUUUAUUGUUUUAUUCUAAAAUCAUGAAAAUUUCCGCAGACAUACUAGACAAUAGACAAAUCGUUAUUCCAAAUUUCAUAAUUUUUUAAAGAUUCCAGCUAUGGUAAAACAACUUCGUAAUUCAUAUUCUUCACUAAAAUAAAAAUUUUCAGGUUUCAAACUUGUGUUUGUAAAAAAUUGAGUUUUUAUCCAAUUAGCUCAAAACUACUUUAAGAACAUUCUUAAAGAUGUCUAGUUUAGCCUAUCCAAAAUUCAUAGUCAAAAUCAAUUUGUACAAAUUACUAUAAUUUUUGAAAUAAUUCAUCGUCAGUAUUUUUUCUGCAAAAUUUUAAAGUUCUAUUUCCACUACAAUUAUCUAAUUGUUCUUCUCUAAAACAAUUAAUGAAAGUCUUCAAUUGAAUUUUACCUUCAAUCCUCUCUCAACAUAAUAUCUAUUUCAAAUUACACAAUUUGGUUCCAUGUAUUACUCAUGGUCGAAUUAAGAAGAAGAUUUUUCUUCACUAAAAUAACUUCCUAAUUCAUAUUCUUCAUUAAAAUAAAAAUUUUCAGGUUUCAAACUUGCGUUUUAAAAAAAUUGAGUUCUUGUCCAAUUAUCUCAAAAAUAGUUUGAGAACAUUCUUAAAGAUGUCUAGUUUAGCCUAUCCAAAAUUUAGAGUCAAAAUCAAUUCGUACAAAUUACUAUAAUUUUCGAAAUAAUUCAUUGUCAUCACAUGUUAUGCAAAAUCUUAAUUUUCUAUUUCCACUACAAUUAUCUAAUCAUUCUUCUCUAAAACAAUUAAUGAAAGUCUUCAACUGAAAUUUACCUCCAAUCAUCUCUCAGCAUAAUAUUCAUUUCAAAUUACACAACUUGGUUUCAUGUAUUGCUCAUGGCCGAAUUAAGAAGAAGAUUUUUCUUCUUCUUUUCUUUUCUCUCUUUUCUUUCUUUUUCUUCUUCUUUCCUUCUUUCUCUCAACUGAUCACUCUCUCUCUUUAAUGGGAAAGGCAAGGCAUCAUGUUCUUUUUACACUAAGGUAAAAGAUCACUAAGAAAUUAAAAAGACUAAAACACCCUUAGGAAAAAUUAGGGUAUUAUAGAGAGAGAGAGAAUAAUUUUAUAAUAAGAGCACAAGUUAAAAGAAAAAAAAAGAUUUCAAUAUAUUAUAAGACAAAAAAUACUACUUUGAAGUUUGUAUUUUUUAUCUUUUACCUUACGUCUUAGUAUUGAAGUAAGAGAUUCUUUUAUUAUAAAAUUACUAGAUAAUACAAUAACACAUAGAUUUAGUGUUUUACGCCAUCAUUAAUUAUUUUACACUAAUGUAAAUCAUUUUAUUAGACUGUAAAGUACUGAAUCAACAUUGUCUUUUGCCCAGGCGUUUGCAAGAGAGAAUUUAGGCGUGUGUGUAUGUGUGUGAUCAUUCUCAAGAGUGGGUGCCCUCAUUUUUUUUAAUGCGUAUACGCUGUUAAGCCGUGCGAUUUAAUAGAGUCAUGUUUUAAUGUACUAUAAAAUCGUAAAGUUUAAUAGUGUGUCUGCACUGACUCUAUUAAACCACAAAUCUUAACAGCGUGUUCACAUGAAAAAAAUAAGAAUGCCCACACUAAAGAAAAACUAUAUAUAGUUUUGGUUCUCUCCUAAGAGUGUCAACAUCAAAUAACAUAUAGGUUCAUUAAUUUACACUAUUGGUAAAAUGUUUUGCUAGGUCGUAAAAUACUGAAUCCGCACGUUAUUUCGUGGACUUCCCAAGUAGAGAAAUUUCGCAUACAUGCAUAUUUAAAAGUUUUUAAAAU
rnacentral:lncRNA from 1 species